UAGAUAAACUGUUUUUUAAAACAUUGUUGUGAACUAAGUGUGUGCGUUCACGAAUCGAGAUCCACAAGGCGGGAGAAUGAAUCGACGGCCUCAAACUUGUGUAUCGACGUCCUCGUUACUUGCUGUCAUCGUUAAUCGAUAUCAUAAGGUCAAAAUUGCAUCAGUUCUCUCUCUCUCUCUCUCUCUCUCUCUCUCUCUCUCUCUCUCUCUUUUAGUCUCGCCUUCCACCCUUUCCUUAAUCUACUGCUCACUUUCGUUCGAAGAUUCAUUCAACCUCGAUCAGAAAUUAGACUACGAGUAAUAUAGACCAUAAUAUUUGGUUUCGAUUGAAUACAAAAUACCGACGAAGCGACCAUCGAUGAUCAUUAGGAGAUAAGGACAUCAGAUUUUUGGAGACUUGAUUGGAGUCGAUCUUCAUUCUUUAUUACCUCCACGUUUCAGAUUGUUUAGUUAACAAAUUGGAGCUUUCUUUGAAUUGAAUCUGUUCUGCAACUUUAAGAAAGAAAUUAGAAAUCAAGUGUAAUCUUUUCCUUUAACCAGUAGUGUUUUUUUUUUUUUUUUUGACAAUCUACAAUGUUUCCUAAAAGACAUUUAUCGGAGGCCAGAAAAAGAGAAACAAAAAAUUGCCGAUGCUUUCAUUCAAACUCAAAAAAGAUAUAUUCAUAGCUUUUUUUAAACCAUCAAGUCUAUCUAUUUUGAAUGAAAAUGAUGCUAAUUUGGAUGACAAAAAUACUAAUUUAAAUGAAUGUAUAAUUAUUUUUAACCACAGAAUUUCGGAUUUGCUCGAUAAUCAAUCAAGAGAUAUUUUAAUGGAAUAUAUCAUCUUAUUAACCAUUCCUGCCAUCGUUGCAUUUGCAUAGAGAAGUCUUUCAAAUAUGAAGUUAUUGUAGAAUUAUCUAAGGUCAUCCAUGUUGUAAAAAUGUUGAAUGGUUUGACAAUAUUAUAUAUAGAGAAAGAUAUCUUAGAUACAAUUGAUCUUGAUAUAUUACUAAUGAUUUCAUAUCAAAAAAUGCUAGGUGGAAAAUUUUUCUUUAAUUAAAUUAUAUGUUUUCGUAAUUUUGUGGCUAUAUAUGUGUUUUUUUAAUACCAAUAGUGAACUUUAUAACUU